GAUGAACGCUGGCGGCGUGCCUGAUACAUGCAAGUCGAGCGAAUGGAUUAAGAGCUUGCUCUUAUGAAGUUAGCGGCGGACGGGUGAGUAACACGUGGGUAACCUGCCCAUAAGACUGGGAUAACUCCGGGAAACCGGGGCUAAUACCGGAUAAUAUUUUGAACUGCAUGGUUCAAAAUUGAAAGGCGGCUUCGGCUGUCACUUAUGGAUGGACCCGCGUCGCAUUAGCUAGUUGGUGAGGUAACGGCUCACCAAGGCAACGAUGCGUAGCCGACGUGAGAGGGGGAUCGGCCACACUGGGACUGAAACACGGCCCAGACUCCUACGGGAGGCAGCAGUAGGGAAUCUUCCGCCAUGGACGAAAGUCUGACGGAGCAACGCCGCGUUAGUGAUGAAGGCUUUCGGGUCGUAAAACUCUGUUGUUAGGGAAGAACAAGUGCUAGUUGAAUAAGCUGGCACCUUGACGGUACCUAACCAGAAAGCCACGGCUAACUACGUGCCAGCCGCCGCAGUAA
rnacentral:rRNA from 1 species